UACGAGGGGUGCUAGCGUUGUUCGGAAUCACUGGGCGUAAAGCGCACGUAGGCGGCGCGUUAAGUCAGGGGUGAAAUCCUGGAGCUCAACUCCAGAACUGCCUUUGAUACUGGCGUGCUCGAGUGUGGGAGAGGUUGGUGGAACUCCGAGUGUAGAGGUGAAAUUCGUAGAUAUUCGGAAGAACACCAGUGGCGAAGGCGGCCAACUGGCCCAUUACUGACGCUGAGGGGCGAAAGCGUGGGGAGCAAAGAGG
rnacentral:rRNA from 1 species